AGUGAUAUGCUUGUCUUAAAGAUUAAGCCAUGCAUGUAUCAGUACAAGCCUCACUAAGGUGAAACCGCGAAUGGCUCAUUAAAUCAGUUAUGAUUUCCUGGCCGAGACAGUGAUACAUGGAUAACUGUGGUAAUUCUAGAGCUAAUACAUGCAACCGAGCCCCAGUCCGGCCUCUCGGGGACGGCGGGGCGCUUUUAUUGGCUGAAAACCGAUGAUCGCCGCUCGCGCGGUGGUCGUUAUUCGAUGAAUCACAAUAACAUUGUGUGGAUCGUACGGUCUUGUACCGACGACGCGCCUUUCAAAUAUCUGCCUUAUCAGCUCUCGACGGUUUGCUAGUGGCUGACCGUGGCUCUGACGGGUAACGGGGAAUCUGGGUUCGGUUCCGGAGAGGGAGCCUGAGAGAUGGCUACCACAUCUAAGGAAGGCAGCAGGCGCGUAACUUACCCACUCCCAGUUCAGGGAGGUAGUGACAAUAAAUACCUUACAGAGGUCUCGUUAACCGAGAUCUCUCAAACGGAAUGAGUACAACGUGAAUCCUUUAACAAGGAUCGAUCUGGAGGGCAAGCCU
rnacentral:rRNA from 1 species